UACGGAGGGAGCUAGCGUUGUUCGGAAUUACUGGGCGUAAAGCGCACGUAGGCGGAUCGAUCAGUCAGGGGUGAAAUCCCAGGGCUCAACCCUGGAACUGCCUUUGAUACUGUCGAUCUGGAGUAUGGAAGAGGUGAGUGGAAUUCCGAGUGUAGAGGUGAAAUUCGUAGAUAUUCGCAAGAACACCAGUGGCGAAGGCGGCUCACUGGCCCGGUACUGACGCUGAGGUGCGAAAGCGUGGGGAGCAAACAGG
rnacentral:rRNA from 1 species